AGAUGUUACAUAAAAAUAGUUUGUAAGAAUUUCUAAAAGCAUAUAUGCAAAGUAUUUUGAUUUAUUUGAAAAUAAUUGAAAAUAGAUUUUUCAAGGACGGUGUCGAGGUCACGGGGUCGGUGUCGUUUUUCGAAAUUUAUUAACUUAAUAUAAUAGAAGAUGUUUCGUUUUAAAUUAAGAAAUGUUAAAAUUAUUAAGUUAAAAACAUUUGAUUUUAAUGACACUUAAAAUUAGACACAAUAUUAUAGGUUACUAACUAAAAAUUGAAAAAACAACAAUAAAUAAUAAAAAAUAAUAAUAAAAAAUUGAAAAAAUCAAAAAAUUCUUAAAAAAUUGCAAAAUAACCCUUUUUUGGGUUAAAAUUGCAAAAAGAUGUUACAUAAAAAUAGUUUGUAAGAUUUUCUAACAGCAUAUAUGCAAAGUAUUUUGAUUUAUUUGAAAAUAAUUGAAAAUAGAUUUUUCAAGGACGGUGUCGAGGUCACGGGGUCGGUGUCGUUUUUCGAAAUUUGUUAACUUAAUAUAAUAGAAGAUGUUUCGUUUUAAAUUAAGAAAUGUUAAAAUUAUUCAGUUAAAAACAUUUGAUUUUAAUGACACUUAAAAUUAGACACAAUAUUAUAGGUUACUAACUAAAAAUGGAAAAAACAACAAUAAAUAAUAAAAAAUAAUAAUAAAAAAUUGAAAAAAUCAAAAAAUUCUUAAAAAAUUGCAAAAUAACCCUUUUUCGGGAUAAAAUUGCAAAAUAACCCUUUUUCGGGUUAAAAUUGAAAAAAGAUGUUACAUAAAAAUAGUUUGUAAGAUUUUCUAAAAGCAUAUAUGCAAAGUAUUUUGAUUUAUUUGAAAAUAAUUGAAAAUAGAUUUUUCAAGGACGGUGUCGAGGUCACGGGGUCGGUGUCGUUUUUCGAAAUUUGUUAACUUAAUAUAAUAGAAGAUGUUUCGUUUUAAAUUAAGAAAUGUUAAAAUUAUUAAGUUAAAAACAUUUGAUUUUAAUGACACUUAAAAUUAGACACAAUAUUAUAGGUUACUAACUAAAAAUUGAAAAAACAACAAUAAAUAAUAAAAAAUAAUUAUAAAAAAUUGAAAAAAUCAAAAAAUUCUUAAAAAAUUGCAAAAUAACCCUUUUUCGGGUUAAAAUUGAAAAAAGAUGUUACAUAAAAAUAGUUUGUAAGAUUUUCUAAAAGCAUAUAUGCAAAGUAUUUUGAUUUAUUUGAAAAUAAUUGAAAAUAGAUUUUUCAAGGACGGUGUCGAGGUCACGGGGUCGGUGUCCGUUUUCGAAAUUUGGUAACUUAAUAUAAUAGAAGAUUUUUAUAUCAUCCUGUCAAAGUAAAGUAAUUGUUUUAUUGGGGUAUAGUUCCGAAAACGUCUCACCUCCGAUCUUAAUGAAACUUGGAAUAUUAACGUAUUUUAGUGCUCAGAUUACUAAAAUGAUAGUGAAAAUUGUCGCAAAUGUGAUUAUCAUGGUAAAAACCAUAAAAAACACCAUAAAAUCAUGGUUUUUUGCAGUUAUCUUGUAAAAAACGCAAAAUUUCGAAAAAGGUUUAAAAUAAAAGUUGUAGGUCUCAAAAAACACACAUUUUUUGUUGUAUGAAUUUUUUACCAAAAGUGGUUGUUUUUUGAGAAAAGUUCAAAAAACCAUAAAACAUCAUGAAAAAUGACGGAAAAAACAAUGCACAUCAUAACUAGAGAAAAAUUUAGUACUUGUAAGUAUAUUAACGUAUUUUGAUGCGCUAAUUAUAAAAAUGAUAAUAAAAAUUGGCGUAAAAUUGAUUAUAAUGAAGAAAACCAUAAAAAAC